CCUACGGGUGGCUGCAACUAGGAAUCUUGCACAAUGGGGGAAACCCUGAUGCAGCGACGCCGCGUGGAGGAUGAAGGCCGAAAGGUUGUAAACUCCUUUUACAUGGGAACAAUGUGAGGGUACCAUGCGAAUAAGCCACUGCUAACUUCGUGCCAGCAGCAGCGGUGAUACGGGGGUGGCAAACGUUAUCCGGAUUUAUUGGGCGUAAAGAGAAGCGUAGGUGUUUUGUUAAGUCAUGUGUUAAAGACUGCAGCCUAACUGCAGGAGUGCAUGUG
rnacentral:rRNA from 1 species